CCUACGGGCGGCAGCAGUAGGGAAUUUUGCGCAAUGGGGGAAACCCUGACGCAGCAACGCCGCGUGAUCGAUGACGCCCUUCGGGGUGUUAAGCUCUGUCAGUGGGGACGAAACCUGACGGUACCCACAGAGGAAGCACCGGCUAACUCCGUGCCAGCAGCCGCGGUAAUACGGGGGGUGCAAGCGUUGUCCGGAAUCAUUGGGGGUAAAGGGUUCGUAGGUGGCACGUUAAGUCUGGUGUGAAAGGCGGAAGCUCAACUUCCGUAGGGCACUGGAAACUGGCUAGCUUGAAUGCGGUAGAGGUAAAGGGAAUUCGUGGUGUAGCGGUGAAAUGCGUAGAUAUCAGGAGGAACAUCGAUGGCGUAGGCGCUUUACUGGGCCGUAAUUGACACUGAGGAACGAAAGCCGGGGUAGCAAAUGGGAUUAGAUACCCCAGUAGUC
rnacentral:rRNA from 1 species